rnacentral:rRNA from 1 species
UACAGAGGUCUCAACCGUUGUUCGGAUUUACUGGGCGUAAAGGGCGCGUAGGCGGCGCGGUAAGUCACUUGUGAAAUCUCUGAGCUUAACUCAGAACGGCCAAGUGAUACUGCAGUGCUAGAGUGUGGAAGGGGCAAUCGGAAUUCUUGGUGUAGCGGUGAAAUGCGUAGAUAUCAAGAGGAACACCUGAGGUGAAGACGGGUUGCUGGGCCAACACUGACGCUGAUGCGCGAAAGCCAGGGGAGCAAACGGG